AAUGACUAUCUAGAGGCUCCAUCUCUUCAGUUCCAAAUUCUCUAGCAUCUUUCUUUGCAGGGGACCUAUUAUACUGCAACAGUCAGUUGAUGAACUGCAGAAAGUUGGAGAAGGCAAAAGGCCAUUUUCACUGCAUGGGCUUUGUUCAAAAGCAAUAAGAGUAGCACACUGAAUGAAGAAGAGAUGCUUUAUUGUUCAUCCCUAGGGCAGCAGUGAAGUCACAAAAGAGAUCUUCGGAGAUAGAAAUGUGUAUUUAGAGCACUGCCCAGACUUUAACUAGUCCAAAGAGAGAGAAUAUAAACAACACUGAAGAAGAGAAAGUAAAGCCAGAAUACUCAGUGUGGAAAGGAAUCUCCUGCUCCAUUAUCACCUUCCGGUAUUUAAGUUGUCAAGAGUAUUGUUUCUCCUGUCUGAAGACUGCUAACCUAAAUAUUCAGGGAAAAGUCUGAGGCAUAUACUCUACUUUUAAUCCUUAAUUAGAGAGU
rnacentral:lncRNA from 1 species